rnacentral:rRNA from 1 species
UACAGAGGUCUCAAGCGUUGUUCGGAUUCAUUGGGCGUAAAGGGUGCGUAGGCGGCGCGGUAAGUCGGGUGUGAAAUCUUGGAGCUUAACUCCGAAACUGCAUUCGAUACUGCCGUGCUUGAGGACUGGAGAGGAGACUGGAAUUUACGGUGUAGCGGUGAAAUGCGUAGAUAUCGUAAGGAAGACCAGUGGCGAAGGCGGGUCU